rnacentral:lncRNA from 1 species
AUGAGGAAAAAGCACACCCUGUCAACACCACCCCAACACCACCCCCAACACAACCCCAACACCACCCCCAACACCAACCCCAACCCCAACCCCAACACCACCCCCAACACCACCCCAACACCACCCCCAACACCCCCCCAACACCAACCCCAACCCCAACCCCAACACCACCCCCAACACCAACCCAACACAACCCCAACACAACCCCACACCACCCCCAACACAACCCCAACACCAACCCCAACACCAACCCCAACACCAACCCCAACACCACCCCCAACACCAACCCCAACACCACCCACAACACCACCCCAACCCCAACACCAACCCCCACACCACCCCAACCCCAACACACCCCCAACACCAACCCCAACACCAACACCACCCCAACACAACCCCAACACCAACCCCAACACCAACCCCAACACCACCCCCAACACCAACCCCACCCCAACACCACCCACAACACCACCCCCAACACCACCCUCAACACCACCCCACACCACCCCCAACACCAACCCCACCCCAACACACCCACAACACCACCCCCCAACACCAACCCCAACACCAACCCCAACACCACCCCAACACCACCCUCACACCACCCCCAACACAACUCUAACACCACCCCCAACACCAAUCCCAACACCACCCCUAACACCACCCCCAACACUACUGCAACACUGCCCCAACACCACCCCCAACACAACCCCAACACCAACCCCAACACCACCCCCAACACCACCCACAACACCACCCCAACACCAACCCCAACACCACCCACAACACAACCCUAACACCAACCCCAACACCACCCCCAACACAACCCCAACACCACCCACAACACCACCCCACCCCAACCCCACCCCAACACCACCCCAACCCCAACACCACCCCCAACACCAACACCACCCCCAACACCACCACCCCCAACACCAACACCACCCCCAACACCAACACCAACCCCAACACCACCCACAACACCACCCGAACACCACCCCCAACACCAACCCCAACACCACCCACAACACCACCCGAACACCACCCCCAACACCAACCCCAACACUGGUGUCGCCAUAUUAA